rnacentral:rRNA from 1 species
UACAGAGGUCCCAAGCGUUGUUCGGAUUCACUGGGCGUAAAGGGUGCGCAGGUGGGUUUGCAAGUUCGAUGUGAAAGCCCCGGGCUUAACCCGGGAAUGGCAUUGGAUACUGCAGAUCUGGAGGAUCGGAGGGGGGACUGGAAUUCUUGGUGUAGCAGUGAAAUGCGUAGAUAUCAAGAGGAACACCAGUGGCGAAGGCGGAUCUCUGGGCCAUUACUGACGCUGAGGAGCGAAAGCGUGGGGAGCAAACAGG